ACUCUACAGGCAUGGUCCCAGUGUGGGUAGCAGCAAGCAAAAUUUUAAAGCAUGGAACUUCUGUUCAUCUGAUGUUGUGUUGCAGUCCCUUGUUCAUUGGCCUGGGGGACUGUUUUUUAAGCUCAAAGUCUAGAGGGGUUAUGAUUGCAGAUAAGAACACGGUUGCCUUUACCCUAAGAGAUUCGAUCUCGGACCCUAAUGGG